UACAGAGGUCCCAAGCGUUGUUCGGAUUCACUGGGCGUAAAGGGUGCGUAGGCGGUCGGGUAAGUCUGAUGUGAAAUCUCACAGCUUAACUGUGAAACUGCAUUGGAUACUAUUCGGCUUGAGAGUUGGAGGGGGGACUGGAAUUCUUGGUGUAGCAGUGAAAUGCGUAGAUAUCUGGAGGAACACCGGUGGCGAAGGCGGCAUCCUGGACCAAUUCUGACGCUGAGGAGCGAAAGCCAGGGGAGCAAACGGG
rnacentral:rRNA from 1 species